UACGUAGGGUGCAAGCGUUUAAUCGGAAUUACUGGGCGUAAAGCGUGCGCAGGCGGUUUUGUAAGUCUGUCGUGAAAUCCCCCGGGCUCAACCUGGGAAUUGCGAUGGAGACUGCAAGGCUAGAAUCUGGCAGAGGGGGGUAGAAUUCCACGUGUAGCAGUGAAAUGCGUAGAGAUGUGGAGGAACACCGAUGGCGAAGGCAGCCCCCCUGGGAUAACACUGACGCUCAUGCACGAAAGCGUGGGGAGCAAACAGG
rnacentral:rRNA from 1 species